AGCGAACGCUGGCGGCAGGCCUAACACAUGCAAGUCGAACGAAGUCUUCGGACUUAGCGGCGGACGGGUGAGUAACACGUGGGAACGUGCCUUUAGGUUCGGAAUAACUCAGGGAAACUUGUGCUAAUACCGAAUGUGCCCUUCGGGGGAGAGAUUUAUCGCCUUUAGAGCGGCCCGCGUCUGAUUAGCUGGUUGGUGAGGUAAUGGCUCACCAAGGCUACGAUCAGUAGCUGGUCUGAGAGGAUGACCAGCCACAUUGGGACUGAGACACGGCCCAAACUCCUACGGGAGGCAGCAGCGGGGAAUCUUGCGCAAUGGGCGAAAGCCUGACGCAGCCAUGCCGCGUGGAUGAUGAAGGUCUUAGGAUUGUAAAAUCCUUUCACCGGUGAAGAUAAUGACUGUAGCCGGAGAAGAAGCCCCGGCUAACUUCGUGCCAGCCGCCGCCGUAACAC
rnacentral:rRNA from 1 species